GGAUGGGCAUGCGGCGCAUUAGCUAGUCGGCGGGGUAACGGCCCACCGAGGCGACGAUGCGUAGGGGUUCUGAGAGGAAGGUCCCCCACACUGGUACUGAGACACGGACCAGACUCCUACGGGAGGCAGCAGUGAGGAAUAUUGGUCAAUGGGCGGGAGCCUGAACCAGCCAAGUCGCGUGAGGGAAGACGGUCCUAUGGAUUGUAAACCUCUUUUGCCGGGGAGCAACGGGGUCCUUGCGAGGGCCUAAUGAGAGUACCCGGAGAAAAAGCAUCGGCUAACUCCGUGCCAGCAGCCGCGGUAAUACGGAGGAUGCGAGCGUUAUCCGGAUUUAUUGGGUUUAAAGGGUGCGUAGGCGGGCUGUUAAGUCAGCGGUCAAAUGUCGGGGCUCAACCCCGGCCUGCCGUUGAAACUGGUGGCCUCGAGUGGGCGAGAAGUAUGCGGAAUGCGUGGUGUAGCGGUGAAAUGCAUAGAUAUCACGCAGAACUCCGAUUGCGAAGGCAGCAUACCGGCGCCCGACUGACGCUGAGGCACGAAAGCGUGGGUAUCGAACAGGAUUAGAUACCCUGGUAGUCCACGCAGUAAACGAUGAAUGCUAGCUGUCCGGGGCUUCGGUCCUGG
rnacentral:rRNA from 1 species